rnacentral:lncRNA from 1 species
AAUAAAAGGUGAUAAAAACAAGAUUGAGCUAAAAGACAACAUAAUCAGAAGACAGAAAAUGAACACAAUAUCUAAAGAACCAGAAAAGACUGUGAGAGACCAGAGGAACAGCAACAGUAUACAUGCCACAUCUAAGGAGGGGAGGAGGGGCCCAUCUGUGCUCACCCCACUGCUUCAGGGUCCUUCUAACAAAGAGAUUGUUCUGCGGUGGCCCCAAGAACCUUC